rnacentral:rRNA from 1 species
GCAGCAGGCGCGCAAAUUACCCACUCCCGGCACGGGGAGGUAGUGACGAAAAAUAACGAUACGGGACUCAUCCGAGGCCCCGUAAUCGGAAUGAGUAUACUCUAAAUCCUUAUACGAGUAUCAAUUGGAGGGCAAGUCUGGUGCCAGCAGCCGCGGUAAUUCCAGCUCCAAUAGCGUAUAUUAAAGUUGUUGCGGUUAAAAAGCUCGUAGUUGGAUCUGUGUCCCGCACCGUCGGUUCACCGCCUGUCGGUGUUCAACUGGCGUGUAUGCGGGACGUCCUGCCGGUGGCGGUCCGGUUCCCGGAGGGUACGUAGGGGUCGUCCUUGCCUCGCUCGCGGCGUCCCCGAAGGCCUUCACGGUGUUUCCGGCCGCCUUUUCGAUCCCGUCGCGGUGCUCUUUACCGAGUGUCGAGGCGGGCCGGCACGUUUACUUUGAACAAAUUAGAGUGCUUUAAGCAGGCCCUGUCCCGCCUGUAUGUUGUGUGCAUGGAAUAAUGGAAUAGGACCUCGGUUCUAUUUUGUUGGUUUUCGGAAUCUGAGGUAAUGAUCAAUGGGGACAGGCGGGGGCAUUCGUAUUGCGACGUUAGAGGUGAAAUUCUUGGAUCGUCGCAAGACGGACCGAAGCGAAAGCAUUUGCCAAGUAUGUUCUCGUCGAUCAAGAACGAAAGUUAGAGGUUCGAAGGCGAUCAGAUACCGCCCUAGUUCUAACCAUAAACUAUGCCUGCCAGCGAUCCGCCGAAGUUCCUCCGAUGACUCGGCGGGCAGCUUCCGGGAAACCAGAGCUUUUGGGUUCCGGGGGAAGUAUGGUUGCAAAGCUGAAACUUAAAGGAAUUGACGGAAGGGCACCACCAGGAGUGGAGCCUGCGGCUUAAUUUGACUCAACACGGGAAAACUCACCAGGCCCGGACACCGGAAGGAUUGACAGAUUGAGAGCUCUUUCUUGAUUCGGUGGGUGGUGGUGCAUGGCCGUUCUUAGUKGGUGGAGCGAUUUGUCUGGUUAAUUCCGAUAACGAACGAGACUCUAGCCUACUAACUAGGCGUACCCGGUAUCCACAAUCGUGCUACCGGCGAUCAAAUUUCUUCUUAGAGGGACAGGCGGCUUCUAGCCGCACGAGACUGAGCAAUAACAGGUCUGUGAUGCCCUUAGAUGUCCUGGGCCGCACGCGCGCUACACUGAAGGAAUCAGCGUGUCUUCCCUGUCCGAAAGGACCGGGUAACCCGCUGAACCUCCUUUGUGCUAGGGAUUGGGGCUUGCAAUUGUUCCCCAUGAACGAGGAAUUCCCAGUAAGCGCGAGUCAUAAGCUCGCGUUGAUUACGUCCCUGCCCUUUGUACACACCGCCCGUCGCUACUACCGAUUGAAUGAUUUAGUGAGGUCUUCGGACCGGUGCGCGGAGGCCGCUCCCGCGGUCUCCGAUGUUGCUGGAAAGAUGACCAAACUUGAUCAUUUAGAGGAAGUAAAAGUCGUAACAAGGUUUCCGUAGGUGAACCUGCGGGAAGG